AAUAUGUUAUUUUCACUCUGCAACUGAAAUAACAUUAAAAUUUCAUUGAGCAAUCAUGAUUAAAAAUAUGGAAAAGGGUCUAAAUUAUCCCUAUUAUUUGGUAAAUAAUUUAUUUUUAUCUUUUGUGUAUCUAUCCGUCAAAAAAUAUAUACUACAUUAUUUUUAUUAAUAAAAUUGCCCUUUAUAUUAAUGUGCUGACAUAUUUUUCUAGGCCCCGUGACUCUUCCAUUCAAAAAUUACAUAUGGGUAUAACCCGACCUAUUUGUUAUUCAGGUUAAAAAUUAAAUGUAUUCCCCCUCUUGAUUCUACCAACGUGGCUCCUUACCCUAUUUCUCCUCCAUCACCUCCAACCAUGUAAAUAUCCAUCACACCUUCUUCUCGCAAUAAAGAUAUCUUUACCUGUAAUUUUGAAAAAUUAAAGAAGCAAAAUUUAAGUGUUCAAAUUGUAAUAGAAAAGUGAGGAUUACAAAGACACAUACAAAAUAUUCUUACACAAAGAAUCUGUAGGGAAAGAUUUGCGUUUUCUGUUAACAUGGGUCCUUAAACCUACUAAAAGCUUUGAAAAUGGUGAAUGAAUAAACUUACUUUUUUCCGAAAAAAUAAUUAGAAAAAGAACAUGGAGAAACCAUGACGGUUACCAUACAAAUUCAAUUAUUUUCUUCUGUUGCUCUCUUGCUUCAUGCCGCUUUUUGUGGUAGCAACUUCGAAAAAUUUCAAGCUAAUAUUUUCCGGUAAAUCAAAAUUUCUAGCCACGGCUCCAAUUUCUGAAACACAAGAGAAUAAGGGUUUGACUACAUUAAUAAAAUCAAUUAAUUAGCCUGCAACCCGUAUUCAAGACCACCACACUCAAAGACCCAAUCUUCCUUGGCUACUUUCUCAAAUAAGGUGAUGAUUUAGCCUUUUCAUUCAAAAAUGGACUUGGUUGCAAGUGACAAUAAGAAACAAAACGAAGGGAGAAAGUAGUUGGCGGAAAAGGUGUGUAACGGUUGAGGAG
rnacentral:lncRNA from 1 species